GGGCGUUCUCAGAGAAUGACUGUAUAAGACUGAGGAGGCAAAGCUCACGCCAAAAAAUGGAACGGGUGGCCCUCAUGUAAUUUUAGUUCUUAGGCCUUGGUGUCUUCAGCUGUGGUCAUCUGCAGUCUGUUCCCACCAACCCCAGGCGGGACAGCACAGCCGGCCUCGUGCCCUGGCACUUUGGGCUGUGUGUUGUGGUGCUCUAAGUGGCUAGCUGGAUUCAGUGUUGGAACAAAAAGACUGCCCUGAUUUUCCCUCAGAUCUUUUCCUUGUUAUUCAUCUUUACCUCCAGAGCAUCUUUACACGUCUGUAGUGUGGUCUUCCUCUAGGCCCCAGCUUCCCUCAGCUGCUCAGCAGUGGUGGUGAGGUGGCCUCUGUCUGGAAUUCAGGGGAUUCCUUAGAGCGUUUCUUUUGUCCCAGGCCCCAUGACUAAAGUCAAUGGAAAACUACAAGAAACAAAUCCAGGCAGGACCAGCAAUGGCCCAGACCCUUUGGGAAUGUGGGUUGUGGUCCCCCCCGGGCAAUGCAUCAUGACCAGCCCAGGUGCUUGCUGAAGGCAAAGUAGAUAUGAAAUGGAUGAUGGAAGAAGGUAGUCAUAACAACAAGCUAUGAAAAGGUGACCAGCUACAAAAACAAGCAUUUGAUGGUUAUAAAUUUCUUCUUUAAUCUGUUUUCAAUAAGUUUGAGUGCACGAUGUGUGUGUGUAUGUUAAAUUUAUAUCAAAGUGAAAAAACACUGGUGAAAUUGAAUCUAGUUGCAACUGUGGGCCUUUCUUUGCUGACUCUCAGUUCAUUUUUGACCAUUGGAAACCCAAAGAUGUAGUAAAUUGUUCUCCUCUGCCAUGCAGUAGACUCAAGACUUACUAAAUAUUGAUACAUGUGAGGUCAGCUCUCAGAAGCCUCAUAUCCCUGUGAGAGAAACCCCUUGGACACCUCCACCUCCCUCCCAGCCCUGGGCUAGCCCUGGGACCUGGCACUCCCCUUUCUCUUUGGAGGGAAGGUACAGCCUUCUCAGUGUUUCCGUUACCAAAUCACUUGCCUGCAUGGCUGUACCAUGUCAGGAAGGGCCUGGGCUGCUGGUAACCAGCAUUUGUCCUCAGCUUCUGGCUGUCCUGAGAAGGCGCCCUGGCAGAGUCCAGCCUGCAGUGUGUCUGAGUGACACUUGCAGCCAUCGGAAAGGAGAGGAUAACUCCGAAGUGCCAAGCAGCUCAUUUGGGCCUUGUCUUACAGGGUGUUUCCAAGGGAUGAGGUUCAAAAUGCUGUGUGGUAACCCUUUGAAAGCUCCCGGUCAUGGGGUGGGUGCUUGGGGUGAGCCCUGAACAGUGUCCAUUUACCACCAGAUGGGAAGCUUUUCAGUAUUUUACUUGGUAAGGCUGUGUCCAUACAUGUCCAUGGAUCAUCACUUCUGUGGCAUUCCCUGCUGGACUCCACCCACAUUCCUCUCAUGCCUCAUCUUUCAAAGCUCCCAACAGGAAAGGUUCACACCCCCACUGCAUAACCACAGCAUUAGACUGUGGGAAAGAACACGCCAUCCAGGGGCUACAUGCUUUAUGGGCUUGGACCCCACUGCCCCUUUUGGAUGAGUUGGUAGCAACACCAGCGAGUGUGUAAACAGGUGGAUUGUCCACGCCCAUGGGCCUCAGAACCACAUGGGCCCAGAAGUCACCCUGGACAACAAGGGAGACUGUGGGGUCAUUCCUGGCCAGGAUUAUGGUCCCUUAUCCUGGCAAAGCAGAGCACAUGGGUGAUCCAUCAGGCCCAGUCAGGGAGGAGGAACCAGGAUGUAUGUGACAGAUAGCCUGGGGGUAUCUAGGGAAUUUCUGCCUUAAAGGGAAUGGUAUAAGGAAGGCAGGGAUGCUGAGAAUCCUAGUUCACAGGGAACAUCAUGUUUAUGGAAUGAAGCCCAGCUGUAGCCUUAAAAGCUGCAUCACAAAUCUUUUCCCCUGGAUACAUAACAAGCAGGGAAAGGCAUUCCGAGUCAUGCACAACGAUACCAGGAGGAUUCAAGCCUAGGUCAAGGGUGAACACAGGGCCCCCAGAGGGGCCUGAGUGGGGAAGAGUCCUGCCUGCCCUUAGUCCAUCCGCACAGGACCUUCCUCUGGCCUCAUCCUUUCCACAUGCAUGUUUUGAGCUUUUUACAUUAUUUUCCCCACUUAGAGCUUAUGCAAUUCCAGAGAUCAAACUAGAAAACUACAAGUUCCUAAAACCUGCUUAAAAAAAAACCUCAACAAGAGAAGCAGAAAAUAUUCUCUUUUCUUCCAAAGCUGCAGAAAAGCAGGCAAUCUCUUGGGGCAGGACAUAGUCCUGGCUGGGGCUAUUUUCAAGGGCGCCCACAUUCCAGUGGCUGUUGCUCUGCCUGUGAAAGUCCUUCCAACCUCUCAAUUAGGGGAAAUCUGGGGGGCUGCCUGUGCUCCUGGAGCAGGUGAAUGAUACUGAGAUGAACUUGUCCCCUGAGUGAGGGGAACUUGGGUGUGUCCUCACCAGCCAGGGAGGGGCUGUCCCUUCUCCCUUCUCCCAUAUCAAUAAGCUGAUGACCUGGAAAAUUUCUUGAUUCAUGGAGAAUGUGAGAUUCUGUGUCUCACUUACAUGAGCACAGAAAGUGAAAGAACCACAUCACAACUCCCAGGCUGUAAAGGAAACAGGAUUUUAAUAGACUAUUCAUAUCUACUAUUUACUAUUUACAAUUAAUGAAUAUUGUCCCUCCAACAGGAAAAUAGGUGCUGGGGGAGAGAUACAAGGGAGCUGGGGUGGGGUUGUCCCCUCUCUCUUGGGCUUCAGGGGACCCCAGGAAUCAGCUUACAAUGUUCCCCUUCCCAUCAGGUGGGAGGAGCUGGUUCAGUGCAUCCCAGCUGUGACCCCGCUGCUGAGGAUGGGGCUGUGACCUGCCAGUGGUACGAGGCUCAGAGUUGGGGCCUGGUGGCUGAAUAGAAGAGUUGGGUUACCUUGGGGGGCCUCCCCCAGAAUCAUGGCCUUCCUCCCCACCCCUUCUGCACUGCGUGCUCCAGGCCCUGUGUGUAGUGCUGUACAAAUAUGUACCUGAUUUGUCCCUGCCAUGUGAGUGAUCAUUUAGCAUCACCUAUUUCACAGAGGAGUAAACUGAGUCUCAGGAAGCUGAAGGGAAUCUCCCCAGUCACAGGACUGGUCAGUGGUGGGGCUGGGCUCCCAGCGCCAGCUGUCCAGCUCCCUAAGACCAGCUGAGCCUGUAGCUUCACUGAACCCCUAGGAUUCAGUCACGACCAGCCCAGACACUCACUCACCCCUGACUGUGAUGAUGUCCGGUUCUUCUCGGUCUUGAGUAUUCUGUUGGCCGACUAGGACUGGGGCUCCAGUCCAUCGGGAGUCACCUGACAAGCACUGGGUAGUCAUCUGCCUGAGAGACUCCUACCAUCCCCUAAAAGAAGAUAACCUUACAGUAACCAAUCCACUUUCUUGUCUAGUAUAUUUUCCUUGUUCCUGCUCCCUUCUGCCUAGAAAGGUCUUUCAUUUUGUAUAGCCCCUCAGAGCUCCUUUCUCCCUGCUAGAUUGGAUGCUGUCUGAUUCAUGAAUUGUUGAAUAAAGCCAAUAAGAUGUUUAAAAUUGACUUCGUUGAAUUUUGUUUUGUAACAGUUUAGUGACAGCAGUAGGGUCCAAAGGAGGCAUCUGAUGGCUUCAGGGAUGAGAAACCCACAAAACCUUUGAGUCCUCCAUCUUUUUCGCUGUUUCUGAGGGCCAUGGUGCCCUCUCUCUCUUCCUGGGCACCUGACUAGAACAGUACCUGCAGAAUUCCUGGUGGCCCCUGCACUGUCCCCUCUUCAAGCUAAAGGAGCUGUAUGUGUAGGUCACCUUGCCUGGCUCGGACCUGGAUUGCUGUGACCCUCUUCUGGUGGUCCACUUGGA
ensembl:lncRNA